CCUCAUGUUCUUGAGUUCUACAACCAGAAGUUCCAUUACUGUGUCCCACUCUGCUCCCUCACCGUACCCCACUUACAGUGGUUGUUCUUGGUCAGUGAGGCCCCAGGGUUCAGAGGUACAUCUGUGUGAGGUCACCUCCCACUCAGGGAAGAAGACACCUGCCUUGCUCUACCAGCUGAGCACUUGCUCUGGCUGGCCACCCUGCCAGCUGCUGAGCCUCCCACAGUCAACCUGCUCGCCACUUUUGCCGGUCGCUCCUACUGGCUACCCAUCAGCCACCUCCUGCUGCCACCUGCCUCUCUGCUGUGAUCUCUGCAGAAUAAUUCUCUUCCUGCUUUAGAAGACUUCUGGACAAGAGAAGAAACUACUAACAAGACCACUGAGGAAAGAUAACAGAGGAUGGGAAAGCCUCUGAAGAUGUUGCAUUUGUAAUGCUCUGAAAGAGGGGACCUGAGUGAGAAUUGCCAAUACUACAAACUCCAUGGAUCGUACAACAGCAUAGGAAUGACAUUUCCAAUUUACAUCAGUGCAGUGAAGAUCAGAAUCUGGUCCAGUGGGUCCAAAAGGAAUAAAAACGGCUUCCCCACAAAUAUACCAGCUGACCUUCACAAAGAUACAAAUUCCAGUUUACAUCGCUUCAGAUGCAAGUGAGUGAGUCAGCACCCUCAGGGAAUAAUGAGGAAUUCAUUAAUACCACACAAAUGAAUGAUGUAGAGGAAGCAAUGUGUGUUUCUCUUCCCACAAAGAGAGAAAGAAAUAGACGACAAGAGCACCAAGCAGAAACCCAAGAAUUUUGGGAAGUAAUCUGACAUGAUAGAUGGGACUUGAAUCCUUACUCUCUUGGGCUGUGUGAUCUCAUUAACUUUCACAAACUAAGACAUGUCUGGCCUGGUCAGUACUUGGAGACCUCUAAGCAAAGCAGGGAUGCUACAUGGAAUGGGACUGAUGAUUUCUCAGGUGGCUAUCUUCACGAACAAUCAGAACCACUGAAAGCACUGUGUUGUUGAAGGCUGUACUUGCCCUACACUGAAGGGGUUUAAGCAGCAUUCUUAGCAGCAGAAGCCAUGCCCCCCCGACCCUGCUGGGAAUGCUCCAACUGCUGCUGCAAUAUAAAAGGGAGAAACCUAGCUUAGUCUGAGCUGGCUGCCGAGGAGGAAGGAUGCACCUCUCUGGCUCCAGCUGAGGAGCAGCCGGAAGCCCAGGCCACGAGGGCGGGGGAUGCAGAGAUCCAGACAGGCACCCAGGUACCGGCAGACACCCCAGAGAGAUUGCUGCCACCGAGGACUGCACUACCCAAGAGGCCUGGAGACUCUGGGGACACCCUAACUUCAACUGCAGGAGUCAAGUGCCUCCAGUGCUUGUGCUGGGGGAACCAUUACCUAUCAAGGGCGCCCAGAGGCUUUAGAUCUGAGUGGACUGAUGAUUAACUGACACCAUUUUUCUAGAUAUACACUGCCUGCUCCGAAACCUCCUGAAGUCAGUGGUUCGCUAAAAAUGAAGUAAGAACCCUUAAUUCUGCACAUCCUGGUCCCUGAGAAUUAAAAUCAAACCCUUCCCGUUAUCUCAAUAUAUUUGUGAUCUGCAUCUUUUUAUUAACCCUUUGGCAGUGGGUGAGUGCAUGCGGCCAGGAGCACGCUAUGCAAACACAGACAUUUAAAUUGCUGGAGAAGAGAGUAAUACUGGAAACUCACAUGCUUAGCUACUGGACUGAAGGCGGUAAGCUGGGGUUAGUCAUUAGUAUUAGCAACCACUGUCUUUUUGUUUUAAUAGAAGAAAAGUUUUGUUCCCUAAAUUGGCUCACAUGUUGCUAAUGAAUGUAUAACAAAGACCCUUUUGUGUAAAACAUUAUCAUUUUACACAGGUGAUAUCAGUCAUAAUCUUGGAAGGGCUGAUGCACUGGAGUUCUUUAAAAUUCCAUUUUUUUUCCUAGAGUCUGUACUCCAUAUAUUACUUGUCUGACCUGAAAAGCAAAAGGACUCCACAUGCUGUAGGGUUCAGUAGAAAUGAUUGCUGGAAUUUUGGAGUACAACAGUAGGACCGUGAUCCUCACAAGUCACACUCUUUGUUACUGUAACACACAAAGAGUGCAUAAGGAUCAGAUUUCCAAGCCAGCUCUUCUAUUUUGUUCUGUCUUUGUGCUACAUUUUGUUUCUCCCUUUCUGUCUGUAUGAGGAUCACCUAGUGCAGCCGACAUUAUUAUUAGCCAAGAGUUUUGUGGUAAUUUGAACAGAGGUUACUAUAUACUGUUAAAAAAAUACUUGCACAUAUAAGGUGUGCCAUUGUACUUAAUCAGAAGUGCUGAAAGUCAAUGGAAGUAUGCAGACUGAUGUAUAUAAAAACAUCUCUACUUAUGACAACCAGUUCUGCAUCUUCAGUGCAUUACAACACUCUAUCAGAGGAGACUCAGGUAUU